GAAUGAGAUGAUGAUUUAUAGAUUUCCCUAUUGGUUUGAUUGCCGAAAUGAUGGCAACAAAAGUAUUAGCUCUAGCUGAUCAUUC